CCUACGGGAGGCAGCAGUGAGGAAUAUUGGUCAAUGGCCGGAAGGCUGAACCAGCCAAGCCGCGUGAAGGACGAAGGUGCCAAGCAUUGUAAACUUCUUUUGUCAAGGGACAAAAUCAGGCUCGAGAGCCUGACCGAGGGUACUUGAAGAAAAAGCAUCGGCUAACUCCGUGCCAGCAGCCGCGGUAAUACGGAGGAUGCGAGCGUUAUCCGGAUUUACUGGGUGUAAAGGGAGCGCAGGCGGCACGGCAAGCCUGAUGUGAAAGCCCGCGGCCCAACCGCGGGACUGCAUUGGGAACUACCGGGCUGGAGGGCCGGGGAGGGAGGCGGAAUUCCUAGUGUAGCGGUGAAAUGCGUAGAUAUUAGGAGGAACACCAGUGGCGAAGGCGGCCUACUGGACGGUGACUGACGCUGAGGCUCGAAAGCGUGGGUAUCGAACAGGAUUAGAUACCCUUGUA
rnacentral:rRNA from 1 species